AGCCUCAGCCUAGAUGAAAAUGACACUGUUGUUCAUGGUGCCUGGAAAUCGCUCAUGUGGCUGCACAGAGACCCAGGUUAUGCUUUCUUCACAGUGAUUUUAUUGCAGUGGUGACAGCGAGAUCCAUAACAAGG